UACGGAGGGGGCUAGCGUUGUUCGGAAUUACUGGGCGUAAAGCGCGCGUAGGCGGCUUUGUAAGUUAGAGGUGAAAGCCCGGAGCUCAACUCCGGAAUUGCCUUUAAGACUGCAUCGCUAGAAUCAUGGAGAGGUUAGUGGAAUUCCGAGUGUAGAGGUGAAAUUCGUAGAUAUUCGGAGGAACACCAGUGGCGAAGGCGACUCGCUGGACUGAUACUGACGCUGAGGUGCGAAAGCGUGGGGAGCAAACAGG
rnacentral:rRNA from 1 species